AUUCGUGGAACUGCUGGGCGGCGUAUACAGGGGAGAGGCCCAGCCUCGCCAGGAUCUCUCGCUUAACUUCGGCAUAACUGUUGGCAGUUGUCAAGGUGAGCGAGAAGUAAGCCUUCUGUGCUUCACCGGUGAGGAGGGGUGCCAGCGCAUGUGCCGACUCGUGUUUUCGAAGACCUGAAGGAAGGCCUCCACAUCGUCAUCGGCUGUCAUCUUGGGUAAUAGGCGGGUGGCUUGUGCCAGAGGCUCAGGUAAUGGAACGCGCUGGGCUACAGCUCACUUCAGUGAGGCGUUGUAAGACGUCCUCCAUCAUCGGGACGCGCACGCCGCCUUCCGUGGUGCUGGUGACACAAACAGGGAAAGAGGGAAAAAAAAUUAGGAGUUGGGACGGUGAUCUUGCGGUAGUUCUUCACUGUUCUGCCUGCAUUCUCCACCACUGUCACGUGGUGAAGAACCACUCGUCAAGAGGUGCGUGAAAUCAAAAGCCCCGGAGGGUGGGUUUAAUAAAUAUUGUGGGGUGCCUGGUGAAAUGUGCUGCUCCGCUUUCUGGUGGCCGGUGCUUCCCAUAUGCUCUCCGUGCUCUUCGGUGCCAGUUAAGGUGAAAGUGGGUGUCCCUACGUGCUCCAAAGUGGGUGGGCUGUCGGUCACUCGCUGCUUUCGCUGCUAAAACAAGCCAUCAUAUUCAAUACAGCUUCUCUGUCAGUGAGAGAAUGUUGCUUUUUACAAUGUUAAGUGCAAAACCGGCCAACAUGAAAGAUCUCUCUGACAAAUGAACUGUGUUUUUUGCAAUGCAGAAACACAGUUUUUAAUGUGCUAGACUUUCAACAAGAACUCCAACUGAUACGACCGUAUAGGUCGUUUGUCACUAUCCUCAAAUACGACACAUACGAGCGUUCUCUAAAUUAGCGCCCCUAUUGGCAAUAGGAGAUAUGAUAUAUAAACUUUCGCCUAAAUGCAUUGUGGGUUUAUUUAAUAUGUUUGCUAUUUGCGUUUUGAAUUGUUUAUUUUAAACUCUCCCAGAUGUUCGAAAUGUUUUGCUAAAAAUAUAUGGAUUUUAGAUGACUUUGAGACAUGUACAGGUAGGGUUUCCACAUGUCUCAAAGUAGUUGAUCAUUUAUGAAUAAGAGUUUUUAUUUUCAAAUCGAUACAACCAGUUUGACAUCCAGAUCAUUCAAUCGAACUCUGCAGCAUUAUAAAGUUAGUUUUCAUAGUGAUAUUUGAAUAGUAGAAUAAUAAAGCUUGAAGAGACAGCUUUCUUCACCCUUAUUUUGUUACAUUUAAACACAAGACUCUGCCUUUCUCAGUCUGUUUCUCUUCUUCUUAGUCCUUUACUCCCUUCACUCACACAUUCUCUUUUGUUCUGUUGUAAGGUACAAACAGAGCGGAUGGUUGCAUGAUGGCCUCUUUCAGUUUUGUCAACUUAACGUCUACUAGUGAGGCUCAGCAAGUUCAUGUCAUGAUCACCUCUCUCCAAGAAAGCUGAAGAGCAAAAACACAAAGAACAUCAGUCCUGUUGGGGAUGAGGAAUGAACAUGGCUUUAUUGUGCCAAAACGGAAAAGACUGAAAAGCUGCUCAUUCUCAUUGAAAGACUGCAUCGAGAGGUACAGUAGAAGGAAAGCUGACACUGAAAACAUUUGUCUUCAAUGACAUGGUCCAGACUAAAGAGAAGCGGGUCUGAGGCCAGAAAUGGAGGAGUCAAUAGUCACCAAGUGCAGCGCUGCAGCCUGAAACUGUGUAGACUACAUUCCCAAACAGCUCUGUAACAGCACAGAUGUUACACCCAUAAAAGAAACUUCUCAACUGAGAGCCCAUACCUCCAACAACCUUCAACAGGAAUCAGUGGACAUCUACGCAAGGUUUUUCUUUUGUUGAGGACCGUCAGAGACUCCAGCCACACAAGCCAUGGAUUGCUCUCACCGUUUCCACCAGACAGACAUUUAUCACAGAACCAGCACCAGCAGACUGCAAGACAAGUUCCUUCCACAGGCAAUCAAACUGAACUGAACUCGUACCAGUAACACCACACACACACACACACACACACACACACACACACCAGCAGCAUCAUUCUGCACCCUGACAUUCUGUUUGCAGUAAUUCAUACUACUCUACAGUAUACACUGUAUACAGUAUACAGUGAUUGUUGUUUUUCAUUUAGUAUUGCACUAUAUUUUCUAACUGUAUUGAGCCCUUAUGUAUACUGUGUAUAUAUUUAAUACUGUAUAUGUGUUGCAAAUAUAUUCAGUACUUGUCAUGCUGUCAUGCUGCACAAAAGUUUACACAAAAGCAUUUCAUCACCUGUAUACCUGUAUUCAUGGUAUUGUGAUUAAUAAGGUGAUUUGAUUUGAAUUGGUCUCUUGAUUUGUUAAUCAGUUGUUCUGUUGUGCUGGAUAACAAUUGCAAAUUGUUUAUGACAUUGAAGAAGAUUAUGAUAGGGACAUGGAUUUGAAGAAACCAGGAGAGCUCUGAUGAUGAGAAUGAAACUGUCAUGAUUCUGCCCUCGUGUCCUUGAUUUUUUCCUAGGCUUGAGGCAGGAUCAUGACAGACCCGUGUUUUGGCCUUGUCUUUGGGCCAUGUGCUGGUGUUGUCUCGUUCCCUUGCCCCGCCCCCUUGUUAUUCUAGUUUUGUCGUGAUUGCCUUACCUGUGCCACCUGUUGUGUCUUGAUUAGUCUUCUUAUUUAUAUCCCCUAGGGUGCUCUUGUGCGGUUCAUUGUGUUUCUAUAUGUAAGAAUGUUAUAUUGUUACCCAUUGAAGAUACGUUGUCUAGCUUGUGAUUGUUUAUCUGUAGAGUUAGUGUUCUUGUGUUAAGAGUCUUUGUUUAUCGUGUCAACCUAGUCCUGUUAAGUUAUUUAGUCUCUGCCCUAGUUGUUGUUUUCCCCCUCGUGGGUUUUGUUUUUCCCCGUUUUUGCCUGUAAUAAACUGCCUGUGUAGUGA